rnacentral:rRNA from 1 species
AGUGAACGCUGGCGGUAGGCCUAACACAUGCAAGUCGAACGGCAGCACAGUAAGAGCUUGCUCUUACGGGUGGCGAGUGGCGGACGGGUGAGGAAUACAUCGGAAUCUACUUUUUCGUGGGGGAUAACGUAGGGAAACUUACGCUAAUACCGCAUACGACCUACGGGUGAAAGCAGGGGUUCUUCGGACCUUGCGCGAUUGAAUGAGCCGAGGUCGGAUUAGCUAGUUGGCGGGGUAAAGGACCACCAAGGCGACGAGCCGUAGCUGGUCUGAGAGGAUGAUCGGCCACACUGGAACGGAGACACGGUCCAGACUCCUACGGGAGGCAGCAGUGGGGAAUAUUGGACAAUGGGCGCAAGCCUGAUCCAGCCAGACCGCGUGGGUGAAGAAGGCCUUCGGGUUGUAAAGCCCUUUUGUUGGGAAAGAAAAGCAGCAGGUUAAUACCCCGCUGUUCUGACGGUACCCAAAGAAUAAGCACCGGCUAACUUCGU